AUUGAACGCUGGCGGCAGGCCUAACACAUGCAAGUCGAGCGGAUGAAGGGAGCUUGCUCCUGGAUUCAGCGGCGGACGGGUGAGUAAUGCCUAGGAAUCUGCCUGGUAGUGGGGGAUAACGUCCGGAAACGGGCGCUAAUACCGCAUACGUCCUGAGGGAGAAAGUGGGGGAUCUUCGGACCUCACGCUCUCAGAUGAGCCUAGGUCGGAUUAGCUAGUUGGUGGGGUAAAGGCCUACCAAGGCGACGAUCCGUAACUGGUCUGAGAGGAUGAUCAGCCACACUGGAACUGAGACACGGUCCAGACUCCUACGGGAGGCAGCAGUGGGGAAUAUUGGACAAUGGGCGAAAGCCUGAUCCAGCCAUGCCGCGUGUGUGAAGAAGGUCUUCGGAUUGUAAAGCACUUUAAGUUGGGAGGAAGGGCAGUAAGUUAAUACCUUGCUGUUUUGACGUUACCAACAGAAUAAGCACCGGCUAACUUCGUG
rnacentral:rRNA from 1 species